AACGAACGCUGGCGGCAUGCCUAACACAUGCAAGUCGAACGAGACCUUCGGGUCUAGUGGCGCACGGGUGCGUAACGCGUGGGAACCUGCCCUUAGGUUCGGAAUAACUCCCCGAAAGGGGUGCUAAUACCGGAUAAUGUCUUCGGACCAAAGAUUUAUCGCCUUUGGAUGGGCCCGCGUUGGAUUAGCUAGUUGGUAGGGUAAAAGCCUACCAAGGCGACGAUCCAUAGCUGGUCUGAGAGGAUGAUCAGCCACACUGGGACUGAGACACGGCUCAGACUCCUACGGGAGGCAGCAGUGGGGAAUAUUGGACAAUGGGCGAAAGCCUGAUCCAGCAAUGCCGCGUGAGUGAUGAAGGCCUUAGGGUUGUAAAGCUCUUUUACCCGGGAUGAUAAUGACGGUACCGGGAGAAUAAGCUCCGGCUAACUCCGUG
rnacentral:rRNA from 1 species